UACGAAGAGGGCUAGCGUUGUUCGGAAUCACUGGGCGUAAAGGGCGCGUAGGCGGCUUUAUAAGUCGGGGGUGAAAGCCUGUGGCUCAACCACAGAAUUGCCUUCGAUACUGUAGAGCUUGAGACCGGAAGAGGUAAGUGGAACUGCGAGUGUAGAGGUGAAAUUCGUAGAUAUUCGCAAGAACACCAGUGGCGAAGGCGGCUUACUGGUCCGGUUCUGACGCUGAGGCGCGAAAGCGUGGGGAGCAAACAGG
rnacentral:rRNA from 1 species